rnacentral:rRNA from 1 species
CAGGCCUAACACAUGCAAGUCGAACGAAGAAGCAAUACUUAGUGGCAGACGGGUGAGUAACAUGUAGGUAUCUGCCCUUUGGCCUGGAAUAACACGAGGAAACUUGUGCUAAUACCGGAUAAGUCUUUACGGAGAAAGCUUUAUGCACCAUUGGAUGAGCCUGCACUUGAUUAGUUUGUUGGUGGGGUAAUGGCCUACCAAGACUGUGAUCAAUAGCUGAUUUGAGAGGAUGAUCAGCCACAUUGGGACUGAGACACGGCCCAAACUCCUACGGGAGGCAGCAGUGGGGAAUCUUGCACAAUGGAGGAAACUCUGAUGCAGCGAUGCCGCGUGAGUGAAGAAGGCCUUUGGGUUGUAAAGCUCUUUCGUCGGGGAAGAAAAUGACUGUACCCGAAUAAGAAUGUCCGGCUAACUUCGUGCCAGCAGCCGCGGUAAUACGAAGGGACCUAGCGUAGUUCGGAAUUACUGGGCUUAAAGAGUUCGUAGGUGGUUGAAAAAGUUGGUGGUGAAAUCCCAGAGCUUAACUCUGGAACUGCCAUCAAAACUUUUCAGCUAGAGUAUGAUAGAGGAAAGCAGAAUUUCUAGUGUAGAGGUGAAAUUCGUAGAUAUUAGAAAGAAUACCGAUUGCGAAGGCAGCUUUCUGGAUCAU